UACAGAGGGGGCAAGCGUUGUUCGGAAUUACUGGGCGUAAAGGGCGCGUAGGCGGCCUUCUAAGUCGAACGUGAAAUCCCUGGGCUCAACCCAGGAACUGCGUCCGAUACUGGAAGGCUUGAAUCCGGGAGAGGGAUGCGGAAUUCCAGGUGUAGCGGUGAAAUGCGCAGAGAUCCGGAGGAAUACCAGAGGCGAAGGCGGCACCCUGGGUCUGACCUGACGCUGAGACGCGACAGCAUGGGGAGCGAACGGG
rnacentral:rRNA from 1 species